rnacentral:lncRNA from 1 species
UGCAUAGAGGUGCAUUUCCUUCUGCUACCCAGUUUUGGGGACAUUUAUUAUUUUACAUAUAUCUUGACAUGUAGGCAUAAAGAAGUACUUUCCUCAUGCUAUCUGAAAAUGAAACAUCUUACUCGUUGUUGAAAGGAUUUUGGAAAAAAUCACAGUUUUCAAACUUACUCGUAUUUUUGCUUUUUCGGUAAAAGAUUUGGAUUUUCAGUGAGAUACUUGAAAAGAAAUGCCUAUUUUUCUGGAUUUGUGAACAAACUGAGCCUUUUAUUUCUAAGAUACUCUUUUGUUAUUGUACUAUGUUGUUAUGAACUAUUGUGAAAUAUUGGUGUUGGACCUGACCUUUUUGUUAGCGCGUUACUACUUUCAACCUAAGGUUAUGUUUGUUACUUAUUGAGUACAUAGGGCCGGUUAUACUCAUACUACACUUCUGGACCUUGCGUGCAGAUGUUGGCCAUUGACGUUGUUGUGUUCGUUGGGAGCUGGAUCUAAAGAUGUACCUGCGUUCCAGUUGUAGCUGCCUCUUGUUCGUGGUAGCCUUAGAACUAUAAAACUCUGUUUAUGUACUUUUCAAACAGAUGAUGUAUUUACUUCAUUUCAUCUUUGAAAACUCUAUUCUUAGAAGCUCAUGAUUUGUACUACCAGUUCUUGGGGAAUGAAUAAGAUUUAGAUUUUUCUUUACUUAAAUU